CCCUUGCCUGGGUACAGUAUUCUACAGCUUCCUGUGUCGGUUGAGACCGUAAGUCUACGGCCACUAGGACCCUUCGGGCUACUGACAUCCGCACCAGUGUUUACAGUGAAAGAGAACUGUGGCAAGAAUAAUCAAACAUCAAACGAUUUAUGCCCAUCGCAUCUGUAUUCGGAAAAUAAUGAAGUCGACAUUGCUGUGACACAAUCAUUUGAAUGGAGUCCUCACGGAGCCCCGGGGGUCUCUCCCGUGAAUAUAAGCUGGUGAUGCUCGGAGAGGGAGGAGUAGGAAAGAGUGAAGGCAUGGGUGUGGUCAA